AGUCAGUCACGCAGAAGUUUCUCUUUCGCUCUUCGCGCUACACACCCAGAUUGGCUUCCAGCGCGCAGGUAAAACCUGGCUGUGCCCUGUUGAAAUCAAUUCUGUUGCAGUCAUAUGCGGUGGAAUCUGUUCUUCUUUUGCAUCCUACGUAACCAGACCAAGCUGUGGGGAACAAAAUUCCAGCCCUAAGGAGAUUGGACCACUCCCGACCAAUGAGUUUGGCCAGGGAGGUCAUGCACUGAUUGGCUCAGCCCUGGAUCAGUCUACUUCUCAACCAAUCAAGGUGCUAAGGAAACAGGAUUACCCUAAACGAUUUAACACACCGGGACUCAUUCCUGAAGCUGGAGAUGCUGUAACACAAUCAAAACUGUAAGGCUUAAAAGAAUUAAAGUAGGAAUUGCCGCAAUUCCCUUCCUAGACUUAUUCCCAAAUAUACUUACUAUGGACUACCUGCAUACAGCAGCCCCUUCACAUAUUUUUACUGCCUGUCAUAAAGUAGUCUGGGUUACAUUUAAAGAAGCUGCCAGCACUUAAUGCAUAGAAGUACUAAAAAUUUGUUACUGAUGUUUGAAAAAUAUAGAAAAUUAGAAGCGGAAUGGCUGAGUGUAGUGGCUUACACCUGCAGUCCCUACAUGUUAGGAGGCCAAGGCAGGAAGACUGCUUGAGGCCAGGAGUUUGA
rnacentral:lncRNA from 10 species